rnacentral:tRNA from 1 species
AAAGGGAGACCUAAUUCCAGUAGGAGACGAAAAAAAAGUAGUCCCUACCAAGAAUCAAUCCCAAAAGGUCGGAGCGAGGCAAAAUUGGCUUUCAAACUAGGCUCUGGGUUCACACAAGACCUGAAUCAGGAACAAGGGCUAUUAGCUCAGGUGGUUAGAGCGCACCCCUGAUAAGGGUGAGGUCCCUGGUUCGAGUCCAGGAUGGCCCACCUGCACAGGUGGAAGAAAGAAAAGAAGCUCCGAAUCAGCACCUUAUCUUACUUAUAUAGUAAGAGAGAAUGCUGGCUCUGAGUACAGAGUCCAGAGGAACCUUGAAAACUGCAUAGAGCUAGGUGAAAAAGCCAAAAAAGAAGACCGCAAG